rnacentral:rRNA from 1 species
UUUUAGUGGGGAAUAACUUUGGGAAACCGAAGCUAAUACCGCAUAAUCCCGAGAGGGGAAAGCAGCAAUGCGCUGAAAGAGUAGUCCGCGGCUGAUUAGCUAGUUGGUGAGGUAAUGGCUCACCAAGGCUUUGAUCGGUAGCCGGCCUGAGAGGGCACACGGCCACACUGGCACUGAAACACGGGCCAGACUCCUACGGGAGGCAGCAGUGGGGAAUCUUGCACAAUGGACGAAAGUCUGAUGCAGCGACGCCGCGUGAGCGAUGAAGCCCUUCGGGGUGUAAAGCUCUUUCGACAGGAACGAUAAUGACGGUACCUGGAGAAGAAGCUGCGGCUAACUACGUGCCAGCAGCCGCGGUAAUACGUAGGCAGCGAGCGUUGUUCGGAAUUACUGGGCGUAAAGGGUGAGUAGGUGGUGCUAUAAGUUCGGUGUGAAAUCUCCCGGCUCAACUGGGAGGGUGCGCCGAAAACUGUGGCGCUCGAGUGUGGGAGAGGUAAGCGGAAUUCCUGGUGUAGCGGUGAAAUGCGUAGAUAUCAGGAGGAACACCGGCGGUGUAGACGGCUUACUGGACCAUUACUGACACUGAAUCACGAAAGUGUGGGUAGCAAACAGGAUUAGAUACCCUGGUAGUCCACACCCUAAACGAUGCAUACUUGGUGUGAGCCAUUCAUUUGGUUCGUGCCGGAGCUAACGCGUUAAGUAUGCCGCC